UAAUAGAGAAGUCCGAAAGAGAUUUUCAUACGUUUUCUGUACUCAUAUCUUGGCCAAAAAGUCAAAGUGUCCCAGUAAACUGCACUUGAGGCACAGAAAGCUAAUCCGUCCAAGAAGCCUAGUGCCUAAUGUGGAUACAGACACACACUUGGGCACUCUCCAACAGAAUGGCUGGGGUUCUCAGUAUGAUCCUCCAACACCAGCCUCAUGGAAGAGGAGGAGGCAGGGGAGAGGCAGGAACGUGUUUGCAAUCAUUUAUUUCUUUUCAUUCCCUUUUCAGAUUUCUCAUCUAGCCAGGAAAUAACUUUGAGCUCACAUUCACAAGUGAAUGAAUUAAGGAUUUAAAUUAAGAUGAUGAGAUAUUUAAACUCUUCUACUUAAGAAGAUACAGCAAGAAAUCGAUUUCUGGCCCAAAAUUGAGAACACACAUUGGGUCGGAUGAUGGAAGAGAAUGAGUUUGGCACAGCAUAAAAAAAGUCCUUCUCCCGUCUUUAAAAUUAUUACUUUCCAAAUGCAAAAGAAAGAGCAUGUUUCAUGAUGUGGGUUAUGAAGACAGAUAGAUACAGCCACGGGAAUAUCAAUGAUAUCACAUGCUCUUAAUUAUGAAAAAAAAAAACUAUAUUUGGAUAUUCUAGGUUUGGCAACAAAUUAUUAAAAGACCAAAGGCCGAAUGUUUUCUCUGAUAUGUGGAUGUUAAUUCAAAAUGAGGGAGCCCUAGGGAAGAAUAGAG
rnacentral:lncRNA from 1 species